rnacentral:rRNA from 1 species
AGCCAGACUCCUACGGGAGGCAGCAGUGGGGAAUAUUGCACAAUGGGCGAAAGCCUGAUGCAGCAACGCCGCGUGAAGGAAGAAGGGUUUCGGCUCGUAAACUUCUCUCAACAGGGACGAAAGAAAUGACGGUACCUGAAUAAGAAGCCCCGGCUAACUACGUGCCAGCAGCCGCGGUAAUACGUAGGGGGCAAGCGUUAUCCGGAUUUACUGGGUGUAAAGGGAGCGUAGACGGCGGUGCAAACCAGAUGUGAAAGCCCGGGGCUCAACCCCGGGACUGCAUUUGGAACUGUGCUGCUAGAGUGUCGGAGAGGCAGGCGGAAUUCCUAGUGUAGCGGUGAAAUGCGUAGAUAUUAGGAGGAACACCAGUGGCGAAGGCGGUCUGCUGGACAGCAACUGACGCUGAGGCGCGAAAGCGUGGGGAGCAAACAGGAUUAGAUACCCCGGUAUCG